CUUGAGAACUAUUAUUAAUGUUCUGACUCACAAUCAAAGGCCACAAAGAAUAACAGCUCCAAUUCUGAAUAACAGUUAAAAUCCUAGAACAGGGGUAAAGGACGAAGCAAAUGAAUGGAAUUUUCUAAACAACCCAAAAGGGGAAAGAGAGAGGGAGAACCUGGAGAAUCCUGUCAGUAGUAGAAAUCAGAAAAUAACCGGCAUUCAUCAGAUUUAAUUUCUGCAAACCAACCAGUGUCCUGGAAAUCAGACAUUUACUCAGCAACUCUGUGGGUGACAUUGCUGUGACAGGCUGACAUUGCUGUGGGCAGGAACUAGAGGGAGAACAAUCUAAGAGACCUGAUUCUCAUCAGAAAGAGAAUCUGCUAUAAUCCUCAUCUUGAGAAUGUAUAAUCUCUAAUCCUCAUCUUAGACUCACCUCUACCUGAUGACUUACCGGUGAUAUGCCUGCUUCCACUUCGCCUUCAGCCAUGAUUGCAAGUUUCCUGAUGCUUCCCCAGAAGCCAGGUAGAUGCUAGCAUUAUGUUUCCUGUACAACCUGCGAAACUGUGAGUCAAUUUAACUCCUCUUCUUUACAAAUUACUUAGUCUCAAGUGUUUAUAGCAAUGCAAGAAUGGACUAAUACAGACAGUAAUAUCUAGUACUAGGUAAGUAGUUUGUUAUAACUGUAUUGUUUAAGGAAGAAUGACAAGAAACCAAUCUAUACAUGUUCAGUACAGAUGCAAUUUUUAAAAAAUAUUUUUGAUCCACCAUUGGUUGAAUCUGUGAAUGUAGAACCCACAGAUAUGGAGGGCCUACUCCGUAUGUAUUGCAUAUGAUACACUUUUAUACAGCUGGUAGUGCAAUAGGUUUAACAUCAUCAUCAUGACAAACAGGUGAGUAAUGUGUUGUGCUAUGAUAUUAUCAUGGCUACAAAGUCACUAGGCAAUAGGAAUUUUUCAUCUCCAUUAUAAUCUAAUGGGCCCACUGUCAUAUAUGUGUUAGUCAUUGACCUAAAUCUUAUCAUGUGGCACGUGACUGUAUUCAAUUAUAAUAGCUUUUUGGACAUUUCUUUUUUCUGACUUUGGGAUUAGUAUUUUA